rnacentral:rRNA from 1 species
AACGAACGCUGGCGGCAGGCUUAACACAUGCAAGUCGAACGCGUGCAGCAAUGCACGAGUGGCGCACGGGUGAGUAACGAGUGGAUAUCUGCCUUUAGGUUCGGAAUAACCCUGGGAAACUGGGGCUAAUACCGGAUGGUCCCUACGGGAUAAAGAUUUAUCGCCAAAAGAUGAGUCCGCGUCCGAUUAGCUAGUUGGUGAGGUAAUGGCUCACCAAGGCGACGAUCGGUAGCUGGUCUGAGAGGACGAUCAGCCACACUGGGACUGAGACACGGCCCAGACUCCUACAGGAGGCGGCAGUGGCGAAUAUAGGACAAUGGCGGCAACCCAGAUCCAGCCAUGCCGCGUAAGUAAUUAAGGCCUGCAGGUUGUAAAGCUCGUUUAGCGCGGACGAUGAUGACGGUACCCGCAGAAUAAGCCCCGGCUAACUUCGUG